AGAAAAGUAAGCUAAGUUAAGCUAGUGGGUUCAUACCCCAUUAAUAGAGAUUCCUCUCUUCUCUA
rnacentral:tRNA from 1 species